ensembl:lncRNA
CCCGGCUCCUGCCGCGGAGGGAGGAAGAGGCGUCGUGCCGCCCGGCUCCGGAGGAUGCGCCUUCGUUCUCUCCAGCAAGUCAGGCGGGACCAAGGGCGAGCUCUGGUCCGAGGCGUUGGGAGUUCUUCCUUGCUGCGCGGCAUGCCUCGUCCUGAAGCCACAUCUGCACCGUAGAGGGAAUGCGGCUUGAAAACACGUUAACGGCCGCUCAGUUCUGCGGAAUUCUCACAGUAUUGGUUGGGCAUCCCCAAACUGAGACAAGGACUGAAUUCAUGAUGUCUAAAAGUGCACUUUCACCACUGAAAUCAAUAGGAUGCUGGAUCUGCCUUAUCCUUAGGAAGGGCGAGGCCGCUGCUUGGGUUUCACAAGGAGGCAGCAAAUUGUUCUUUAAGCAAUUUGUUAUUAUUGUAUUUGUACUAUUGACUAUUGAGAGAUGCGCUUGUGGGAUUUUCUGCCUCAUGUGCCAAAAUAACUAGGCUCGCUUUUGGUUACUAUUCAUCUUGAACUGAUUGAGGCAGAAGCACAUUUUUCUGCUUCAUCUCAGGCAGCAAAACAUUUUGGAUUAGACUUGACGUGAUGGAAUAUGGAGGAUUAAGAAACCAGCCUCUGUUGCAUUUUGAACUCUGGACUACUAACUGCUGAAGCAGCUUCCAAACAGCCCACAUGAGAAGUAAAAAUAUUUAUGUUCUUCAUAACUACUGUAUUUGUGCUUGCUGUAUUAUAUGUUAUAACCCCUAAACUGUGACACGAGUGUUAGCAAAUGACUUUUCUGUACAUGUACAUGCUUGCUUUUCAUUUUUUUGGAUAUAUACUUUUACAAGAUAUCUUAGCUGUGAAAUAUCUCUUUUUGCAACAGAAGACUCCUUGUUGUGAACCUAUCUGUAGACAAUGGAAGUGCAGAACUGUUUGGAAAAAAGAUUUGUGAAUAAAUUAUGGUACAUCCAUCUGACAAACAUUCUUUUCUCACAAUAAAGUAGUGUAAAUAAGAGUCAUUUUCCUCCAUUAUGAGUAAGCUUUUAUUAACAAACACGUAUGUAUUAUACUCUCAGAAGUUACACAUAACAAUAUACUGGAAACAAUGUGAGUCAAUAGAUAUUACAUGUAGUGUGUGUACGUAUGUUAAUGUUUAUAAGCCACUUUGAGGCUCACUGUUGGGACAAAAUAAUAUAUAAAUGAAUAAAUCAAAAUAACAGUAAUAGUGACAUUAACAGAAGUUCACGUAGGGUUUAUAAAUAUACCUACAUCCCUUCCCACUAGUAUGGUUUAAUCAUUUUGGAGCAAUUGGUAUGGGGAAAAAUAUUGAACUGGAAUACUGCAAACUAUGCUCACAUAGACAGUGAUAUAGUACAGAUUAACUGGUAAUUGAGUUAUGAUUCAUGCUUUUCCUAGGCAACAGCCUUUCCUAUUACAUUUUGCAAAUUCCUACUACAAGACACUUGUCAAUCUUCUUUGAAAAGCCAUAGCUCCCUCUAUGAUUCCUCAGCCAUGUUUUUCCUUGGGUCUUGUUGGGGAAAGAGCAUUCAAUUGUCUUACUCUGGGCCUCUCUGCAACCACAUUAAUUGCAAUCAAGAAGCACAUAAUGAUAUAUGUGUUUAUCUUUUAAUUAUGCAACAAAAAUCUUCAUCAUCUUCUCAGUUUCAUGGCAGAGUAAUGCUUUCAUACCACUAUGUAAGCAAGAGUGAUUAGGAAAAGAUUUUUAAGAGACUGGGCCUAACCAUCCCCAACCUGGAACUACUCACAGAUUCAUGAUCUGUGGGCUGGAAGGAGAAAUCUCCCAACUUAGUGGCUUUUCUCCAAAAUCUAGUCACUGAAAAAAUGGAGCCUCCAUUUUGCAAGCCAUAGGGUAUCAUGGAAAAAGUACAAAAAGGUAAUUCUCUAGCUGAUUGGAAGAGGAAUAACUUGACAGUAAAACAGAUGUGACUGUUUGUAACUGUCAAACUGAUUAGUUGUACAAGCUUUUAAGAUGAAAAGGCUUGGGCACAAAUGUUGAGAUGUUAACACACGGAUGGGGAAUGUGGAAUGGCUCCAGCUGUGAUGGGACGUCAAAUCUCAUCUGACUUAACAAGCAUAGCUAUGAGGCUAUGAUAGCCAAUGGUAAAAUAAUAUGAAGGCAAAGGAAGCUCAAAAACAUCUGGAGGCCUAGAUGUUCUCUGCCAGUCCCCGACCACUAUAUCCGCAAACUCAGCCAGACAACUGAGGCCUCCCCAAAGGACCCAAUGAUUUAGGACCUCAUCCCCCAUGGGGAGAAUGUAGGUGGAAUCAUCUUCUUGGUCUGGUAUUCCAUGGUGUUUCAUCUUUAAACAGGACAGAUAAUUUUCUCAUCCCCACCAUGCAGGAUUACUUCCUCUUGUUUCUAGCGCAACCAUCUGCUUCAUUUCCUAUCACACGAAUGGGUGUUGUCUCCUCCCAUUUCAAAGAUACCAGCACACUUUUAAAACAUUUCAAUGAGAUCUGCCCUAUCCUCUUUGAACUCCUCCUCUCAAGUAGACCAGCACACUUUUAAAACACUUCUUUCAAUGGUACCCACACUGUCUUUAAACUAUUAACACACCACCUCCACGAACACCCAAACUGAAACAUCACAAAACUGAAUGUAAAUGGACAAAUCCAUAAGUUCUCAUUCCAAGGAAAAAUUCCAUUUUUAAGAGUUUCUACAUGAAGAAAGGAGUGGAGUUGAUUCCUACCUAUCUUUCAAAUCCAACCAUUUCUACAUGCCACAGAGAUGGAAUCCCACAGGCAGUUCAUGGAACGGGUUGUGCAUUAUUUGAUGGGAUCUGUGGGAUUCUGUCUUUGUGCAGAAAUGGAGGAUGAUGGGGUCCUAAGUUAAAAAAAGACUCAUGCUGACAAGAUGACUUCCUAGUUUCUUCAGACUCCUUCCUCACCCCACAGGACAGAUUGCACUACAAAGCCGCAUUUUAAAAAAACAUAUUGUGCAUGCAGAGGAGAUUAUAAAAAAUAUUCUAAGAAAAUUGUUUUUUCCCUGUAAAAUUGGAGCUUCAAAAUUGAUGUGCACCUUACAUUCCAUUGCACCUUAUAUUUGGUGGAAUAUAGCAUUAUAUCCCAACUGUUGAGUGGGGGGAAAAAAGACUAACCAAAUCUAAUUCUAAGUUACUAUUCCAAAUACCAUCUAUGCAUUUGCCUGAUAUUUUAAAUAUGAAAUUAUUUCUCUGAUACUUUUCUCACAAGUUUGUGUAAACACUAUUUUUUUUCAAAAAUAUGAACCCACAAUUUGUAUUUAAAACUCCUCCAUGAGCUCUCCAAAUUGCUUUUUUCAAAAAUCUUUGGAACAGUUUAAAGAACAGGUUGGAUAUCUUGCAGGGAAAUCUGCUAAGAUCAAACUCUUCACAGAAAAAUAGAGUGCCUCUUUGUCUUGCAGUUGUUGUUGUUGUUGUUGUUGUUGUUGUUAUUAUUAUCACGCUUUUUCUCUCCAUACAGAGACUCAAAGCAGCUCACAACUAAAAGCAUUUCAAUAUUCAAUACAACUAAAAAUAUACAAAUAUUAAAACUGUAUUAACAACAUUAAUACUAAAACUAUCCAGGUUAAAACCAUAAAGAUAUAAAAUCACAUCACAAAAUCACAGUAGCCCUUAAUGGUCUUAAAAUGCCAUUAUUCUUAAAAGCCUGCCUGAAUAAAAAGGUUGGAAGGACAGUGAGGAGGAGGCCGUUCUGGCUUCCCCGAGAAGAAGAGAGUUCUGGAGUUGAGGGACAACCAAUGACAGAAGGCCCGCUCUCCCGUUCCCACCAACUGGGCUUGAGAUGGAGGUGGGACUGAGAGAAAGGCCUCUCCUGAACACCUCAGGGCCUGGGCAGGUUCGUACAAAGAGAUGCGAUCAGCCAAAUAGCUUGGACCUGAACUGUAUAGGGCUUAAAGGUCAUAACCAGCACUUUGAAUAGUGUGCAGAAACAGACUGGUAGCCAGUGGAGCCAGUUGUCCGUUCCUUGUAGCCAGUCACAGUGAACAACCUGGCUGUAACUCUUUGGACCAGCUUAAGUUUCUGAGCACUCUUCUGAG